rnacentral:rRNA from 1 species
GAUGAACGCUGGCGGCGUGCCUAAUACAUGCAAGUCGAGCGAACGGACGAGAAGCUUGCUUUUCUGGUGUUAGCGGCGGACGGGUGAGUAACACGUGGAUAACCUACCUAUAAGACUGGGAUAACUUCGGGAAACCGGAGCUAAUACCGGAUAAUAUUUUGAACCGCAUGGUUCAAAAGUGAAAGACGGUCUUGCUGUCACCUAUAGAUGGAUCCGCGCUGCAUUAGCUAGUUGGUAAGGUAACGGCUUACCAAGGCAACGAUGCAUAGCCGACCUGAGAGGGUGAUCGGCCACACUGGAACUGAGACACGGUCCAGACUCCUACGGGAGGCAGCAGUAGGGAAUCUUCCGCAAUGGGCGAAAGCCUGACGGAGCAACGCCGCGUGAGUGAUGAAGGUCUUCGGAUCGUAAAACUCUGUUAUUAGGGAAGAACAUAUGUGUAAGUAACUGUGCACAUCUUGACGGUACCUAAUCAGAAAGCCACGGCUAACUACGUG